rnacentral:misc_RNA from 1 species
GUCCACGCGGUGAGACCUGGUGGGUCAGCGAAAAGUUGCGGAAGAGUAUCGCUCUUCAUUUCUUGUGACGUUGUGCAACAAGUGAAAAUUUUCAAAAUUGCGUUAAUAACUCAACAAGACGACACCAAGAUGGCGGACUAUUUGAUCUGCGGAGGAACAAGCUACGUGCCGGAAGACGGGAAUACCGGUGCUCAACUGUUCUCCACGGGGGAAGGUCUCACUUACCAUGACUUCAUCAUUCUCCCUGGCUUCAUUGAUUUCACAGCUGAGGAAGUGGACUUGACCUCAGCUCUCACAAAAAAAAUCAGUUUGAAAGCUCCUCUAGUAUCUUCCCCAAUGGACACUGUAACAGAAUCCGAGAUGGCUAUUGCAAUGGCACUUUGUGGUGGCAUUGGCAUCAUUCACCACAACUGUUCACCAGAGACACAAGCACAGGAGGUCAUGAAAGUCAAGAAGUACAAGCACGGCUUCAUUCGUGACCCUGUAUGCCUCACUCCACACCACAGAGUCUCUGAUGUUUUUGAUGUAAAGAAAAGUCAUGGAUUUGGUGGAAUUCCAAUCACAGAAGAUGGAAAGAUGGGCACACGACUCCUUGGCAUUGUUACAUCACGAGAUAUUGAUUUUUUGGAGCCUAACUCAGACAAGCUGCUCUCAGAGAUCAUGACUCCGUUUGAUGACCUGGUAACAGCUCCAGCAGGUGUCAGUCUUGAUAAGGCUAACGAGAUAUUACAAAGAUCUAAAAAAGGUAAAUUACCAAUUACAAAUGAACAUGGUGAACUUGUAGCUCUGAUAGCACGUACUGAUCUCAAGAAAUCUCGUAACUUCCCAAAUGCUUCAUAUGACGCUAACAAUCAGCUGUUGGUGGGAGCAGCCAUUGGAACACGAGAAACGGAUAAGCAUCGCCUUGAACUCCUUGUCAAUGCUGGUGUUGAUGUAGUGGUUUUGGAUUCUUCACAAGGAAACUCGAUAUACCAAAUCAACCUAAUCCGCUAUAUCAAAAAUACUUAUCCAGAGCUCCAGAUUGUCGGUGGCAAUGUUGUGACAGCAGCACAGGCAAAGAAUUUGAUAGAUGCAGGUGUGGAUGGCUUACGAGUAGGUAUGGGAUCAGGUUCCAUCUGCAUCACACAAGAAGUCAUGGCUGUUGGUCGUCCUCAGGCUACAGCUGUGUACAAGGUGGCUGAGUAUGCUCGGCGGUUUGGUGUACCUGUGAUGGCUGACGGUGGUAUUGCCUCCGUAGGCCACAUCAUCAAAGCACUUGCAUUGGGUGCAUCCACAGUAAUGAUGGGUUCUAUGCUAGCUGGAACUUCAGAAGCACCAGGAGAAUAUUUCUUUAGCAAUGGUGUGAGGCUCAAGAAGUACCGCGGUAUGGGCUCCCUGGAAGCCAUGGACCGUAAGGAUACCCAGGGCGCAGCUGCUGAUAGAUAUUUCCAUGGAGAGGGAGACCGCAUCAAGGUUGCACAGGGAGUCAGUGGUUCCAUUGUGGAUAAGGGGUCCAUCCUAAGAUUUCUGCCAUACUUGGUGUGUGGCAUUCAGCAUGGCUGUCAAGACAUCGGUGCUAAGUCAUGCUCAAUGCUCAGACCUAAUUUGAGAACAUGUAUGGUCUGACAUAAUGGCUGAAUCCCAAGGGUGAAGAUGUGUGUGUCUACUUGAGUGUGUUGGGUAUGUAACAUCCCUGGAAGACACUUGCAUUAUUUUAGAGGAGAUUGAUGCUAACCAACAGAUCCAUGAUGUAUGCAGGUGAACUGAAGUUUGAAAAACGCACAGUUUCAGCUCAGCGUGAGGGUAAUGUUCACAGUCUGUUUAACUAUGAGAAGAGGCUCUUCUAAGGUUACACCAUGCUUUGAGGGCAUUUCAUUCAAUUCACACAUUGAGCAAUGGUACAGAAGGUAAUGUAAACCUUGAUAUAUCGUCAGUUGCUUGUUCAAAUAUAAAUAUUGCAUCCCCAUGAUAGCUUCUUGCUUUGGAGUAUGUGUACACCACAAGUAAGGUACAAGCAUUCAUAUUUUCUGUAUAGAUUUUCUAGAAUAACAUUAAAGAAAUACUGGUGGCUAGUAUUGUGGUUUCAUGAGAAUUUCACUGCAUAAUGACCAGUUUUGAUAUUUUUAGUAAAGUGUUUAAGUGAUGUGGAACUAAGUACCAGUGGCUUGUUAAACAUUUACAAGUAGAUUUAUUUUAGCAUUGGGAGAAUCAUUACACCAUAUCUUCAAGGUGUUCCAUCUGCCCUUUGUGAUAUGGGAUUUCUUGUAAAUUUAUCUGUAACAAAUGAUUUUGCUCAUUCCAGAACCUUUUAUAUGUUUUCAACUUUAUACUGUACUUUUUAUUUGAACUUUUUUAUAUGCUAUAGUUGGUGCCAGUCACGAAUAGAAUUUGGUUUCCCGGGUUUUGGAUGGCAUUAUAGGGCGUCUGCUAGUGAUGCAUUAUAGGGAUUGUGUGAUCUGAUUGCUAACAUUUGGAAUUCGUUCUAGACUUGUGGUUUAUUUUGCAUUAAGUCAGUAUUAUUGACAAUUACUUGAUUCCUCAAAAUCAUAUGCUCCAAGUCCUUUGAAUAUAUUAUUUUUUUAAGUCAAUGGUGCAAACCAAAACAUCAGGAAUUUUUGUAUCCAGAAUCUGAUGCACGGACUAUGGCAGAAGAUAGCUUGUGGUGAGAGAUUCUUGGUCGCUGCUGUAUUGGGCAGGGUGUGAAUUUCCCUUGUAUUUUUUUUUCUUUCUCGAGGCUUCUUCAAAAUAUAUUGGACUAAAAUGGAAUAAUCUUCCCUGGUGCUCAUCCUCCUCUAAAGCCACUCGUUCUGGAUCAGAAGUUGGAUAACAAAGUAAUGACAGUGUGCCAUAAAAGUGUGAUAAAAAA